rnacentral:rRNA from 1 species
AUUGAACGCUGGCGGCAGGCCUAACACAUGCAAGUAGAGCGGAGCGGCGGACGGGUGGAGAAUGCCUAAAAAUCUGCCUGGUAGUGGGGGGUAACGUCCGGAAACGAGCGCUAAUACCGCAUACUCACAGACGAGCCUAGGUCGGAUUAUCUAGUUGGUGGGGUAAAGGCCUACCAAGGCGACGAUCCGUAACUGGUCUGAGAGGAUGAUCAGUAACACUGGAACUGAGACACGGUCCAGAAUCCUACGGGAGGCAGCAGUGGGGAAUAUUGGACAAUGGGCGAAAGCCUGAUCCAGCCAUGCCGCGUGUGUGAAGAAGGUCUUCGGAUUGUAAAGCACUUUAAGUUUGGAGGCGUUACCAACAGAAUAAGCACCGGCUAACUCCGUGCCAGCAGCCGCGGUAAUUC